GUGAGGAAUUUUCCGCAAUGGGCGAAAGCCUGACGGAGCAAUGCCGCGUGAAGGAUGAAGGCCUAUGGGUUGUAAACUUCUUUUCUCAGAAAAGAAUUAUGACGGUAUCUGAGGAAUAAGCAUCGGCUAACUCUGUGCCAGCAGCCGCGGUAAGACAGAGGAUGCAAGCGUUAUCCGGAAUGAUUGGGCGUAAAGCGUCUGUAGGUUGUUUAAAAAGUAUUCUGUCAAAGAUUAGGGCUUAACCCUAGAUAGGCAGAAUAAACUUUUAAGCUAGAGUGUGGUAGAGGCAGAGGGAAUUCGCGGUGGAGCGGUGAAAUGCGCAGAUAUCGGGAGGAACACCAAAGGCGAAGGCACGCUGCUGGGCCAAUACUAACACUGAGAGACGAAAGCGAGGGGAGCAAAUGGGAUUAGAAACCCGGGUAGUCC
rnacentral:rRNA from 1 species